AUUGAACGCUGGCGGCAGGCCUAACACAUGCAAGUCGAGCGAGCGGCGGACGGGUGAGUAAUGUAUGGGGACUGCUCGAUAGAGGGGGAUAACUACUGGAAACGGUAGCUACUACUGCAUACUAUCGGAUAACCCCUAGUGGAUUGGCUAGUGGGUGGGGUAAUGGCUCACCUAGGCGACGAUCCCUAGCUGGUCUGAGAGGAUGAUCAGUCACGCUGGAACUGAGACACGGCCCAGACUCCUACGGAGGCAGCAGGGGGGAAUAUUGGACAAUGAGCGCAAGCCUGAUGCAGCCAUGCCGCGUGUAUGAAGAGGGCCCUAGGGUUGUAAAGUACGUUCAGUCGGGAGGCGUUACCGACAGAAGAAGCACCGGCUAACUCCGUGCCAGCAGCCGCGGUAAUUC
rnacentral:rRNA from 1 species